GAUGAACGCUGGCGGCGUGCCUAAUACAUGCAAGUUGAGCGGUAACACUUCGGGUGACGAGCGGCGGACGGCAGAGUAACGCGUAGGAACGUACCCCAAACUGAGGGAUAAGCCCGGGAAACCGGGUCUAAUACCGCAUAUUAUCUUUGGAUCAAAGCCUUGGGGCGGUUUGGGAGCGGCCUGCGUAUGAUUAGCUUGUUGGUGAGGUAAUGGCUUACCAAGGCGACGAUCAUUAGCUGGUCUGAGAGGAUGAUCAGCCUGACUGGGACUGAGAACGGCCCAGACUCCUACGGGAGGCAGCAGUAGGGAAUUUUCCACAAUGGGCGAAAGCCUGAUGGAGCAACGCCGCGUGCAGGAGGAAGGCCUUCGGGUUGUAAACUGCUUUUAUCUGUGACGAUUAUGACGGUAGCAGAUGAAUAAGGAUCGGCUAACUCCGUGCCAGCAGCCGCCGUAA
rnacentral:rRNA from 1 species